GUGUUUGUAUUUUUCUAACAGAUUCUUGCCCUUCAUCAUCUGAAAAACAGACUGAGAUGGAGACAAUCAUUUUCUCAAGGCACGGAAGCACAGCAUGGAUCAACUCAAUAUCCUGAUGGCCCCCGUCUACUCAAUGUGGACAAUUUCAACAGAAGGUCAUCUUUUUUUUUAUUUUAUUCCAGAGACAAUUUGGUGACCUCCCUGUGGAGCCUCAGCAGGAUCAGAGGAGACAAACGGCUACAAAACUGCCAUGUUGACAUUGCGUUCAGUUCUGGACUUCUCAAGAUUGCUCCUCAAGGUCAAAUGUGACAGCAGUUUGAACUGACUGGAGUCGAGUCGUGGAAAAGCUACAUGACAGCAGUUUGCCUCCAGUGUUAUUAAGCCCAUUGAAAAUGAUUUAGGAUAUGAAAGGAAUCGUUUUGUGUCUGGAAAUGUACAUUAAAUGGUGUCAACAACAUCCCUGAGGUCAGCAUAGAGUCCCCACGGAGACUGAAUCUGGCUUCUGCGUUUGAGGAAGGAACACCCUGCUCCCCCUCCACCCACCCCGAGCGGGGGCUCGGCGACGGCUCUCAGUUUCUCUCGUCAUGUCCCUGGCAGCUUUGACACAGGGAGCAAAACAAGGACUCUGAGCUGCCACCGGCCACUGCGCUCAUCCAGGGGCUUUCAGCCUUCAAGAGGACUAGAGUCCGCCUUUAAGGUGAGCUCAAUUUUCCUCCCAUUUACACUAUUGUUACAAGUGUCGGAUAGAAUGCAUCUGGUAGAUGGUGGUCAAACAGCGGCUGUCUGAAGAUGACAUAGGAACAGAGAUGUCUCUGCACGCCCAAGGUCAUCCUAUUCUGCAGCUCGGCUGCAGACGUUCAGAGCUGCUGCAAAGGCCCUGACAAAGAGAGGAAACUAAUUCACACAUUUUACAUUCUUUAUGUUUUGCAUUUACAAAAGUGAAAGUGUCUCCUGCAGCUCUACAGGCCUCAACAUGAAAUAUGCUGCACAUAUUAUAAAAAAAAAAAUCUGUAUUCUUUGUGGGGAAGAUGUUUCCUCUUGAAGGAAACCAAUUUGAAGAAUGAGUAAAUGUAAAUAUGGUUGAAACAACAUGCUGAGAUGUUUGUCAAGAAUUUAACCUGCCAGCAUAACCUUGGGAGGAACACAGGUGACUUUAUGGAAACAUGGAGAGAUUUCUCUGUUGACAAUAGGUCAGUCCUUUACAGAACGUACCUAUGCACAUUACAAGGUGGGUCUCUGGGGAGAAGUAAUGGGUUCUGGGCAAUUGACCAACUUGCCAUGCUUUAGUGCACCUGCACUGAGUUAGAGCUGUCAUCAUUACCACUUCCUCCAACGUUCCCCCACAGCAACCCAGACACUCCCACCUAGAGCGAUAUUUCACAUUCC